GGAUUGCAGCUCAGUGGUAGAGCACAUGCUUAGCAUGUGUGAGGAGCUGGGUUCGAUUCUGAGCACUGCA
rnacentral:tRNA from 1 species